CCUACGGGUGGCAGCAGUGAGGAAUAUUGGUCAAUGGGCGGGAGCCUGAACCAGCCAAGUCGCGUGAGGGAAGACGGUCCUAUGGAUUGUAAACCUCUUUAGGCGGGGAGCAAUGCCGGGCACGCGUGCCCGGAGGAAGAGUACCCGCAGACUAAGCAUCGGCUAACUCCGUGCCAGCAGCCGCGGUAAUACGGAGGAUGCGAGCGUUAUCCGGAUUUAUUGGGUUUAAAGGGUGCGUAGGCGGAUUUUUAAGUCAGCGGUAAAGUGUCCGGGCUCAACCCGGGCCGGCCGUUGAAACUGGGGAUCUUGAGUGGGCGAGAAGUAUGCGGAAUGCGUGGUGUAGCGGUGAAAUGCAUAGAUAUCACGCAGAACUCCGAUUGCGAAGGCAGCAUACCGGCGCCCGACUGACGCUGAGGCACGAAAGCGUGGGGAUCGAACAGGAUUAGAUACCCGGGUAGUC
rnacentral:rRNA from 1 species